GACGAACGCUGGCGGCGUGCCUAAUACAUGCAAGUCGAGCGCAGGAAGCUGACGGAACUCUUCGGAGGGAAGGCAGUGGAAUGAGCGGCGGACGGGUGAGUAACACGUAAGGAACCUGCCUCAAGGAUUGGGAUAACUCCGAGAAAUCGGAGCUAAUACCGGAUAGUUCAUCGGACCGCAUGGUCCGUUGAUGAAAGGCGCUUCGGCGGCCCCUUGAGCUGGCCUGGCGGUGCAUUAGCUAGUUGGUGGGGUAACGGCCCACCAAGGCGACGAUGCAUAGCCGACCUGAGAGGGUGAUCGGCCACACUGGGACUGAGACACGGCCCAGACUCCUACGGGAGGCAGCAGUAGGGAAUCUUCCACAAUGGACGAAAGUCUGAUGGAGCAACGCCGCGUGAGUGAUGAAGGUUUUCGGAUCGUAAAACUCUGUUGUAAGGGAAGAACACGUACGGGAGGGAAUGCUCGUACCUUGACGGUACCUUACGAGAAAGCCACGGCUAACUACGUGCCAGCAGCCGCCGUAAGAC
rnacentral:rRNA from 1 species